AUGUUACUCCCUCCGUCUGGAAAUACGUGUCAUAGAAAUGAAUACAAAUGGGUAUAUUUAGAACUAAAAUAUAUCUAGAUACAUCCAUUCCACGGACAAGUAUUUUCGGACGGAGGGAGUAUCAC
rfam:Triticum aestivum genome assembly, contig: Triticum_aestivum_CS42_TGACv1_scaffold_499891_6BL